rnacentral:rRNA from 1 species
ACGACUCUCGGCAACGGAUAUCUCGGCUCACGCAUCGAUGAAGAACGUAGCAAAAUGCGAUACUUGGUGUGAAUUGCAGAAUCCCGUGAACCAUCGAGUUUUUGAACGCAAGUUGCGCCCAAAGCCAUCCGGCUGAGGGCAUGCCUGCCUGGGCGUCACGCAU